rnacentral:rRNA from 1 species
UACGUAGGGGGCAAGCGUUGUCCGGAAUCAUUGGGCGUAAAGAGCGUGUAGGCGGUCCAGUAAGUCCGCUGUGAAAGUCAAGGGCUCAACCCUUGAAAGCCGGUGGAUACUGCUGGACUAGAGUCCGGAAGAGGCGAGUGGAAUUCCUGGUGUAGCGGUGAAAUGCGCAGAUAUCAGGAGGAACACCGAUGGCGAAGGCGGAUCUCUGGGCCUUACCUGACGCUCAGGCACGAAAGCUAGGGGAGCGAACAGG